AAGUCGUAACAAGGUUUCCGUAGGUGAACCUGCGGAAGGAUCAUUAAAGAGACGUUGCCCUUCGGGGUAUACCUCCCACCCAUUGUUUAUUUACUUUGUUGCUUUGGCAGGCCCGGCUUCGGCCCACCGGCUCCGGCUGGUCAGUGUCUGCCAGAGGAUACCAAAACUCUGUUUGUUAAUAUUGUCUGAGUACUAUAUAAUAGUUAAAACUUUCAACAACGGAUCUCUUGGUUCUG
rnacentral:misc_RNA from 1 species